rnacentral:rRNA from 1 species
UACGGAGGGAGCUAGCGUUAUUCGGAAUUACUGGGCGUAAAGCGCACGUAGGCGGCUUUGUAAGCUAGAGGUGAAAGCCUGGAGCUCAACUCCAGAAUUGCCUUUAAGACUGCAUCGCUUGAAUCCAGGAGAGGUGAGUGGAAUUCCGAGUGUAGAGGUGAAAUUCGUAGAUAUUCGGAAGAACACCAGUGGCGAAGGCGGCUCACUGGACUGGUAUUGACGCUGAGGUGCGAAAGCGUGGGGAGCAAACAGG